rnacentral:rRNA from 1 species
ACGGUAGCACAGAGAGCUUGCUCUCGGGUGACGAGUGGCGGACGGGUGAGUAAUGUCUGGGGAUCUGCCCGAUAGAGGGGGAUAACCACUGGAAACGGUGGCUAAUACCGCAUAACGUCGCAAGACCAAAGAGGGGGACCUUCGGGCCUCUCACUAUCGGAUGAACCCAGAUGGGAUUAGCUAGUAGGCGGGGUAAUGGCCCACCUAGGCGACGAUCCCUAGCUGGUCUGAGAGGAUGACCAGCCACACUGGAACUGAGACACGGUCCAGACUCC